rnacentral:lncRNA from 1 species
UUUGACGUGAAAAUGAGGAAAAACGGGCCCAGCAGCGAACAGGCGUUAAAAAACCAGCCUUCACGUGUUAAUGCAGAGUUACUUUGUAUUAGAAAACUUAAAAAGUUAAACAGUAUGUGUGAUAUAUUCGACACCUUGGCCACCCUACUAAGCUGUCCUUUGCAUACUAUGAAACGACAAAGGUAGAAAUAUUAUUAGGUCUAUGUAGCUGCCAGUUUUAUGUGGUAGGAAAUAAUAACACCAAGCUCCAAAUGUGCAUUUUCAUUACUUUUAUUCAGAUCAGCGACACUCCUCCUCUUUGAUGCUCCACAUAAGUGGGUGAGGAAAUGUGGUGCUACCAAAAACCAGGAUUUGAGGUCCUCCUCCUCGCUGAGCUGCAAAGACAACAACAGCGCAGCCAGUUCUGUGACACUCUACUCAAGGCAGACGGUGUUUCAGUGCCAGCACACAGCUGCAUCCUGUCAGCUAUCAGCCCGCACAUCUCCUCCACUCUGUCCUCCUUGCCAGUGCCCCCUGCAGGACAGAGCCGUCUCCUGGACUUCCGGGCUCUCGGUGCCUGCACCCUGCUCCACAUGGUCAGGCUGCUGUACUCUGGAGAGAUGGCAGGGGAGGGGGAGAAGGAGAAGCAAGAGGCUAUUUCGGCUGCAGCCAGGUUGGGCAUCCAUGGGCUGGUGGAGGUCAAGAAAAGGGGUCAUAAAAGCGAGAAUGAGGAAGGAGGAGGCCAGCACACGGAGGUGGGAGUUCAGACAGAGCCUCUGAUGUCAAGGGAGGCUGAGCCAAAGCGGAGCAGGUGGAGGCGAGACAUAAGGGAUGGGAGCACUGUUCUGUGGAAAGAAAUACUGUCGGAAAGUCAAAAAGACAUGUGGACACAGACAGAGGAGCUGCAGGUAAACACAGCUCCCUCUACUCACCCAGCAGCCUCCUUUGAGACCAUUGAAGUCACUGCUCUCCAGGGAUUGGGAGACACGAACUCGCAUUUUGUUACCCCUCAAAUUCCCUGUGUGCCCUUAUCCAUCGUCUACACGUCAGAUCAAAACCACACAUCCCAGCCUUCCUCUGCUCCUGCAGCCUCUGUGCAAGACUCCAUAGCUGCUGGACACACAUCUGUAGAUGUGGCACAGCCAUACGCCCCUAACCCCCCAUCCCUCCUUUGUUUUCCCAAUCAGUUGGCUUCAUGUGCUGUAGACCCUCAGGGCUGGUGGGCUAACCCUCAAGGAGAAGCCAGAGAUGUCACGGAGGGUGAAGAAUGGGAUGAGCGGUUUGAAGUGUUCCAAGGCAACAUCCCAGGAUUCAUUAGCUACUUCCUGAACCCAGACAAGGAGCAGGGCUCUCGCAGGGGACGAGCACGGAGGAGGCGUAGAGCAGGAGUGGGAGGUGUCAGGAGAGCCGGGACGAGUGAGAGACGAGC